rnacentral:rRNA from 1 species
AGUGAACGCUGGCGGCAGGCCUAAUACAUGCAAGUCGAACGGCAGCACAGCAGAGCUUGCUCUGUGGGUGGCGAGUGGCGGACGGGUGAGGAAUACAUGGGAAUCUGCCCAGUCGUGGGGGAUAACGUAGGGAAACUUACGCUAAUACCGCAUGCGCCCUUCGGGGGAAAGCCGGGGACCUUCGGGCCUGGCGCGAUUGGAUGAGCCCAUGUCGGAUUAGCUAGUUGGCGGGGUAAAGGCCCACCAAGGCGACGAUCCGUAGCUGGUCUGAGAGGAUGAUCAGCCACACUGGAACUGAGACACGGUCCAGACUCCUACGGGAGGCAGCAGUAGGGAAUAUUGGACAAUGGGCGCAAGCCUGAUCCAGCCAUGCCGCGUGAGUGAAGAAGGCCCUCGGGUUGUAAAGCUCUUUUGUCCGGAAAGAAAAGCGUCGGGUUAAUACCCCGAUGUCCUGACGGUACCGGAAGAAUAAGCACCGGCUAAUUUCGUGCCAGCAGCCGCGGUAAUACGAAGGGUGCAAGCGUUACUCGGAAUUACUGGGCGUAAAGCGUGCGUAGGUGGUUCGUUAAGUCCGAUGUGAAAGCCCUGGGCUCAACCUGGGAAUGGCAUUGGAUACUGGCGGGCUAGAGUGCGGUAGAGGAUAGUGGAAUUCCUGGUGUAGCAGUGAAAUGCGUAGAGAUCAGGAGGAACAUCCGUGGCGAAGGCGACUGUCUGGACCAGCACUGACACUGAGGCACGAAAGCGUGGGGAGCAAACAGGAUUAGAUACCCUGGUAGUCCACGCCCUAAACGAUGCGAACUGGAUGUUGGGCUCAACUUGGAGCUCAGUAUCGAAGCUAACGCGUUAAGUUCGCCGCCUGGGGAGUACGGUCGCAAGACUGAAACUCAAAGGAAUUGACGGGGGCCCGCACAAGCGGUGGAGUAUGUGGUUUAAUUCGAUGCAACGCGAAGAACCUUACCUGGCCUUGACAUGCACGGAACUUUCCAGAGAUGGAUUGGUGCCUUCGGGAACCGUGACACAGGUGCUGCAUGGCUGUCGUCAGCUCGUGUCGU